rnacentral:rRNA from 1 species
UAACACCUGGAAACAGAUGCUAAUACCGGAUAACAACAGAUGAUGCCUAUCAACUGUUUAAAAGAUGGUUCUGCUAUCACUCUUGGAUGGACCUGCGGUGCAUUAGCUAGUUGGUAGGGUAACGGCCUACCAAGGCGAUGAUGCAUAGCCGAGUUGAGAGACUGAUCGGCCACAUUGGGACUGAGACACGGCCCAAACUCCUACGGGAGGCAGCAGCA